UACGUAGGGUGCAAGCGUUGUCCGGAAUUAUUGGGCGUAAAGAGCGUGUAGGCGGCUUGGUAGGUCCGCUGUGAAAACUCGAGGCCCAACCUCGAGAUGUCGGCGGAAACCACUUGGCUAGAGUCCGGAAGAGGAGACUGGAAUUCCUGGUGUAGCGGUGAAAUGCGCAGAUAUCAGGAAGAACACCAACGGCGAAGGCAGCUCGCUGGGACGGAACUGACGCUAAGGCGCGAAAGCGUGGGGAGCAAACAGG
rnacentral:rRNA from 1 species